UACGGAGGGUGCAAGCGUUAUCCGGAUUCACUGGGUUUAAAGGGUGCGUAGGCGGGUUGGUAAGUCCGUGGUGAAAUCUCCAAGCUUAACUUGGAAACUGCCGUGGAUACUAUCAAUCUUGAAUAUCGUGGAGGUAAGCGGAAUAUGUCAUGUAGCGGUGAAAUGCUUAGAUAUGACAUAGAACACCAAUUGCGUAGGCAGCUUACUACACGAUCAUUGACGCUGAGGCACGAAAGCGUGGGGGAGCAAACAGG
rnacentral:rRNA from 1 species